rnacentral:rRNA from 1 species
AGUGAACGCUGGCGGUAGGCCCAACACAUGCAAGUCGAACGGCAGCACAGAGGAGCUUGCUCCUUGGGUGGCGAAUGGCGGACGGGUGAGGAAUACAUCGGAAUCUACUCUGUCGUGGGGGAUAACGUAGGGAAACUUACGCUAAUACCGCAUACGACCUACGGGUGAAAGCAGGGGCUCUUCGGAACUUGCGCGAUUGAAUGAGCCGAUGUCGGGUUAGCUAGUUGGCGGGGUAAAGGCCCACCAAGGCGACGAUCCGUAGCUGGUCUGAGAGGAUGAUCAGCCACACUGGAACUGAGACACGGUCCAGACUCCUACGGGAGGCAGCAGUGGUGAAUAUUGGACAAUGGGCGCAAGCCUGACCCAGCCAUACCGCGUGGGUGAAGAAGGCCUUCGGGUUGUAAAGCCCUUUUGUUGGGAAAGAAAUCCAUCUGGUUAAUACCCGGGUGGGAUGACGGUACCCAAAGAAUAAGCACCGGCUAACUACGUGCCAGCCGCCGCGGUAA